AAAGGACCGGGGUCAGUAAAAGAUGGAGAAGAAAGCCUUGUGUCUCAUUGCCACAAUUUCCACGAAAUGAUCGGAAAUCUGGGACUGAAAUUGGCAUCGAUCUAUUAUGGAAUGCAUUUGCCAGUAAACAGGUGGUGAGAGGUUUGCUCCAACUGUAAACGCGUCGUCCGACUUAAACAAUGUGAGGACUUUUUGGCAGUGACUCAACCGUGCACGAGAAGAUUGAAUACGUUCUCCACCAAUGACGUCAGACUCGUGUUCUACGGCGGCUGAAUCCA